AUAAUAAUAAUAAUAAUAAUGAAGAGGAGAACUCAUGGGAGAGAGAGAAAUGUAAAGCGGAUAUAUUGAAUCAUCCUUUAUACGAUCAGCUACUGUCGGCACACGUUUCAUGCCUGAGAAUUGCGACGCCGGUGGAUCAAUUACCGAGGAUUGACGCUCAGCUAGCUCAAUCGCAAAACGUGGUAGCCAAAUACUCUGUACUUGGACAAGGUCAACCGCCUCUAGAUGAUAAAGACCUCGAUCAAUUUAUGACACAUUAUGUUCUGUUGCUCUCUUCCUUUAAAGAACAACUGCAACAACAUGUCCGCGUCCAUGCAAUGGAAGCUGUCAUGGCUUGCUGGGAGCUAGAACAAUCUCUACAAAGCUUAACAGGGGUAGCACCAGGUGAAGGUACAGGAGCAACCAUGUCUGAUGAUGAUGAUGACACAAACUUUUUGGAUGGAGG
rnacentral:misc_RNA from 1 species